ACCUAGUUGAAGAGUUCCAAAUAGGACGAAACACACGUCCUGGAU
rfam:Schistosoma margrebowiei strain Zambia genome assembly, scaffold: SMRZ_contig0002004